GUAUUCAUCUACUCAGUUUUAACUUGUUUUAUUUUUCAACCAUUGAUAAAAUAAGUCCCAUACCAUGUAAUAUUCGGUUUCUUCUUUUUCUUUAAUUGACAGUGUUAAUCUAUUCAUCUCUGCACAUUCAAAUAUUUUCUCUAUCACUUUUUCCUCUGCCGUUAUCACUUUUCCAAUUCUGAGCAAAUACAAUCGAGCUGCUGUUAAUACAUAAAUAAUCUAAUAUACUUUUUCUUUGCUGUAACCUUUAGGUAUUAUUCCUAAUAAAAAUAUUUCAGGUUUAAAAUCUACGUGUUGCUUUAUCAUUUUUUCCAACCAUGUGUGGAAUUUUGUCCACUAUCUUUUUGCUUCUGUAUAUGUUCACCACAUAUGGUAAUAUGAUCCAGGUGUCUGGUGACACUUCCAGCAUUUGGCUGAUUUAUCUGUAAACGUCUUUGCCAAUUUUGCUGGUGCAAAGUGCCAUCUGUAAAACAUCUUAUACACAUUUUUUUAUAUGCUGUUGAUAUUGUUAACUUAUAAUUUCUUUCCCAUAGUUUCUGCCAUCUAUCUAAUUCUAUUGUAUGCCCAAAAUUUUCCACCCAUGCUCUCAUUGUUUUCUUUACAUGUUCUUCUUCUAGUUUUACACCUAGUAAAUAACAGUACAAUUUUUUUAAUCAGCUUGUCUCCUGUUCCUGUUAGUAUUUUGUCCAAUUCUGUCAACUUCUUAUGGAUACCUUCAACUUUGGUAUCUUUUUGGUAUUUUGAUUGUAUUUGCAUGUAUUAAUACCAAUGCAUAUCAAUCCCUUGUUCAUUCAAUUCUUGUUUGGUUUGAACUCACCCUUUUCAUUCAGUAUAUCCUUAUAUCUAGCAAUAGUUCCCAUUUUACCAGUAUUUGGGCGUAUCAGAGCUUCUAUUGUUGAUCACCAGACUGGAAUUUUAAAGAAAUGUUCUUCUCUAAUUUUUUCCCAUACUAACAAUAAAGCAUUCCUAACAAAGUGCCUUUGAAAAUAACCAUGUAUCUCAUUUCUUCUGUACCACAGAAAUGCAUGCCAACCCAAUUGCAAAUCAUGUCCCUCCAGUGUCGGAAACCUUGUAUUUCUUAAAAUUAUCAAUUCUUCCAUCCAAGUUAGUACUGUGGCCUGAUAGUAUAUUUCCCAAUUAGGUAACCCAAACCCUUCUCUCAUUUUUGCAUCCUGUAACAUUUUAAAAUUAAUUCUUGCCUUCCUCCCUUGCCAUAUAUAUUUCAAUACUAUUUUGUUGAUAUCUUCAAAGUAUUUUUUCUCCAGUUUUAUCGGAAUUGUUUGGAACAAAUACAACACUUUUGGUAAUAUAUUCAUCUUAUUCAUUGCAAUUCUUCCUAUUAAUGAUAAUUGCACAUUCCCGCAUUUUUCCAAAUCUGGCUUAAUUUGUUGUUUUAAUUUAGUAAUUAUCUUCCUUAAUCAUUCCACAUCUAGCCGUUAACUGGAUCCCCAGAUAUUUUACUUUGUUUGCAAUCUGAAUAUCUAAUCUCUCCAUUAAUUCUUUUUUCUGUUUCUCUAUCAUAUUUUUUUUACCAAAAUCUGUUUUCCCUUUAUUUAUUUUCAACCUGCCACUUUUCCAUAUUCUUCUAUCUUGUUUAUCAACUUAGGUCCUGUUCCUAAUGGUUCUUCUAAUAUAAAAACCUGGUCAUCUGCAAAUGCCAGUAGUUUAUAUUCCUCCUUUCUUAUUUCCAUCCCUUUUAUUUCUUUAUCUUUCCUAACAUUUCUAUUUAACACUUCUAAUGUUAAUACAAAUAGUAAUGGCAACAAGGGACACCCUUGCCUUGUUCCCUUCUUAAUGUUAAUUUUUUCAGUCAAUUCUCCAUUAACCAUCACAACUCUCCAUUAACCAUCACUUUUGCAUAUUGUUUAUAGUGUCUUAAUCAUUUUAAUAAACCUUUCCCCAAAACCCAUUUCUUCCAUUUGUGCCAACAUAAACUUCCAGUUCACAUUAUCCUUCUGUGCAUCUAGAAAUAGCAACACCAUCUGUUUCUCUGGAUGCGCUUCAUAAUAUUCCAGAGUAUUCAAGUUUAUUCUCAUAUUAUCCUUUAUUUGUCUCUUGGGUAGAAACCCAUUUUGGUCUGGGUGUAUAAAUUGGUUUAAAAAUCUCUUUAGUCUUUCUGCCAUUAUUGAGGCAAAUAUUUUGAAAUGCAAGUUCAACAAUGAUAUUGGUCUAUAGUUUUUAAUCUGUAAGGCUGUAUCUUUUUUCAGUAUAAGAGCAAUGUAAGCUUCCAUCCAUGAGUUAGGUAUUUUUGCCUCCAUCAGUACUUAAUUUACCACUUCUAGUAAUGUAUUGCUCAAAGAGUCCUGCAGGGUUUUAUACAUUUCUGCUGGUAUACCAUCCGGUCCUGGUGCUUUCCCAUUGUUUUGUUUUUUAAUUGCUUCUGUUAAUUCCAUUAUUGUAAUUCUUUCCUGUAACAUUGUUUUGAUUUCUUCUGGUACUUUAGGUAAUUCUGCUUUUUUAAAGUAUUCUUUAAUUUCUCCUUCCACUUAUUCUUGUUCAUAUAGCUCCCAAUAAUAUUUUUGAACUAUCUCUUUUUUCUCUUCAUUUCUAUAGCAAAGGUUGCCUUUAUGAUCUGUUAAUUGGGAAGUCUGUCUCUUUUCCUUCUCUUUCUUCAGUCUAUAUGCUAGCCACCUUCCUGGCGUAUUUGCAUUUUCAAAAAAGUUUUGUUUAGAGCUUUUUAUUUUUUGUGCUAGUUCUUUUUUGUCUAUUAUUUUCAUUUUAUGCUUUGUUAAAUUCAUUUUAUUUUGUAUAUCCUUUCUUUACGAGUUUCUUUGGAGUUCUUUCCCCAUCUUUUUAUAUUCUUCUUCUAGUAUUUUUUGUGCCUGUCUUUUCUUUCUGUUUCUCUUUCCCAUAUAUGUUAUAGUUAAUCCUCUAAUAUAUGCUUUUGCUGUAUCCCAUACAUUUUGUAUCCAAUUCUUUUUCCAUAUAUUAAAUAUACUCCUUUUAUUUCAAUAUUAAAUUGUUCAUUGUCCAUUUUGGCCUCAUUUUUGUCCCUUCCAUAUGACUUUAAUCAGAUUAUGGUCUGCCCAUGUGUUUAUUUCGAUACUUAUUUCUUGUAUGUUGGAAAUUAAAUCUGUUGAUAUUCACAUCAUCUCGAUCCUGGACCAGGGCAAAUGUCUAUUCCAGUAGAAUAUGCAUUGUUUAUUUUUAUGAUGUAUUUCUCUCCAUGCAUCUCAAAUUGCUAACUCUUUUGUCAUCUUGAAGAAGAAUUUUGGUAAUGUUUUCCUGUUCUUUUUAUUUGUCUUUUGUGUUUUAUAGUCCAUUUCAGCAUCCACUAUUGCAUUAAAGUCUCCUAGGAUGCAUAUACUUUCAUAUUCUAGUUUGAUUAUUUUGGGGGGUAGUUUAUCAUAAAAUGCUUCUUGAUUCUCAUUUGGUGCAUAUAUCGCCACUAGUAAUGUCUGUUUACAAUUUAUCAUUAUUACCACCAUUAACACCUUCCCUUCAUCAUCUUGGAAUAUUUGUUUAGCUUUUAUUUUAUC